GCACAGCGCGACGGGAGCCCGGGGACCCGGGCUGAGAGGGUGGCCACCGAUCCGCCACCGACCGCUGAACCUGAACUGGGUAAUGCCAGCGAAGGGACGGCUGCUGACCAGAC
rnacentral:ncRNA from 1 species